rnacentral:rRNA from 1 species
UACGUAGGGGGCAAGCGUUGUCCGGAUUUAUUGGGCGUAAAGAGCGUGUAGGCGGCUGGGUAGGUCCGUUGUGAAAACUCGAGGCUCAACCUCGAGACGCCGAUGGAAACCCUCCAGCUAGAGUCCGGAAGAGGAGAGUGGAAUUCCUGGUGUAGCGGUGAAAUGCGCAGAUAUCAGGAAGAACACCCGUGGCUAAGGCGGCUCUCUGGUACGGUACUGACGCUGAGACGCGAAAGCGUGGGGAGCGAACAGG